UACGUAGGGGGCAAGCGUUGUCCGGAAUCAUUGGGCGUAAAGAGCGUGUAGGCGGCUCGGUAAGUCCGCUGUGAAAGUCGGGGGCUCAACCCUCGGAUGCCGGUGGAUACUGUCGGGCUAGAGUACGGAAGAGGCGACUGGAAUUCAUGGUGUAGCAGUGAAAUGCGUAGAGAUCAUGAGGAAGACCAGUGGCGAAGGCGGGUCUCUGGACAGUUCCUGACACUGAGACACGAAGGCCAGGGGAGCAAACGGG
rnacentral:rRNA from 1 species